GAUGAACGCUGGCGGCGUGCUUAACACAUGCCAGUCGAACGGAAAGGCUCCUGCUUGCAGGGGUACUCGAGUGGCGAACGGGUGAGUAACACGUGGGUGAUCUGCCCUGCACUUCGGGAUAAGCCUGGGAAACUGGGUCUAAUACCGGAUAGGACGAUGGUUUGGAUGCCAUUGUGGAAAGUUUUUCGGUGUGGGAUGAGCUCGCGGCCUAUCAGCUUGUUGGUGGGGUAAUGGCCUACCAAGGCGUCGACGGGUAGCCGGCCUGAGAGGGUGUACGGCCACAUGGGGACGAAUACCCGCCCAAGCCCCCUAGGGGGGGCAGCGGUGGGAAAUAUGGCAAAAGGGGCACACGCGUGAGGCGGCGCCGCGGGGGGGGGGAGGAGGCCUUUGGGUUUGAAAACCCUUUCCCCGGGGGACGAGGCGAAAGGGCGGGACCUGGGGGAGGAGCCCCCGCCAAACUACG
rnacentral:rRNA from 1 species